AUUGAACGCUGGCGGAAUGCUUUACACAUGCAAGUCGAACGGCAGCACGGGGGCAACCCUGGUGGCGAGUGGCGAACGGGUGAGUAAUACAUCGGAACGUGCCCAGUCGUGGGGGAUAACGUAGCGAAAGGUACGCUAAUACCGCAUACGAUCUACGGAUGAAAGCGGGGGACCGUAAGGCCGUGCGCGAUUGGAGCGGCCCAUGUCGGUUUAGGUAGUGGGUGGGGUAAAGGCUCACCAAGCCGACGAUCUGUAGCUGGUCUGAGAGGACGACCGGCCACACUGGGACUGAGACACGGCCCAGACUCCUACGGGGGGCAGCAGUGGGGAAUUUUGGACAAUGGGCGCAAGCCUGAUCCAGCCCUUCCGCGUGCAGGACGAAGGCCUUCGGGUUGUAAACUGCUUUUGUACGGAACGAAAAGGCUCUGGUUAAUACCUGGGGCUCAUGACGGUACCGUAAGAAUAAGCACCGGCUAACUACGUGCCAGCCGCCGCGGUAA
rnacentral:rRNA from 1 species